rnacentral:rRNA from 1 species
UACGGAGGGUGCGAGCGUUGUCCGGAAUCACUGGGCGUAAAGGGCGCGUAGGUGGCGGCCCAAGUCAACGGUGAAAGCUCGGCGCUCAACGCCGAGUCGGCCGUCGAUACUGGGUUGCUUGAGCACUGUAGGGGCCAAUGGAAUUCCGGGUGUAGCGGUGGAAUGCGUAGAGAUCAGGAAGAACAUCGGUGGCGAAGGCGCUCUGCUGGACCAUAACUGACACUCAGGGACGAAAGCUAGGGGAGCGAAUGGG